rnacentral:rRNA from 1 species
GAUGAACGCUGGCGGCGUGCCUAAUACAUGCAAGUCGAGCGAACAGACGAGGAGCUUGCUCCUCUGACGUUAGCGGCGGACGGGUGAGUAACACGUGGAUAACCUACCUAUCAGACUGGGAUAACUUCGGGAAACCGGAGCUAAUACCGGAUAAUAUAUUGAACCGCAUGGUUCAAUAGUGAAAGACGGUUUUGCUGUCACUUAUAGAUGGAUCCGCGCCGCAUUAGCUAGUUGGUAAGGUAACGGCUUACCAAGGCAACGAUGCGUAGCCGACCUGAGCGGGUGGUCGGCCACCCUGGAACUGAGACACGGUCCAGACUCCUACGGGAGGCAGCAGUAGGGAAUCUUCCGCAAUGGGCGAAAGCCUGACGGAGCAACGCCGCGUGAGUGAUGAAGGUCUUCGGAUCGUAAAACUCUGUUAUUAGGGAAGAACAAAUGUGUAAGUAACUAUGCACGUCUUGACGGUACCUAAUCAGAAAGCCACGGCUAACUACGUG